AUACUAUGUAACGUAAUGCGUUAUAACGUUAUACUAUAUAACGUAAUACGUUAUAACGUUAUACUAUAUAACGUAAUACGUUAUAACGUUAUGCUAUAUAACGUAAUACGUUAUAACGUUAUACUAUAUAACGUAAUACGUUAUAACGUUAUGCUAUAUAACGUAAUACGUUAUAACGUUAUACUAUAUAACGUAAUACGCUAUAACGUUAUG
rnacentral:misc_RNA from 1 species